rnacentral:rRNA from 1 species
ACGGGAGGCAGCAGUGGGGAAUAUUGCACAAUGGGCGCAAGCCUGAUGCAGCGAUGCCGCGUGAGGGAAGAAGGUUUUCGGAUUGUAAACCUCUGUCAUCGGGGACGAUAAUGACUGUACCCGAGAAGGAAGCUCCGGCUAACUACGUGCCAGCAGCCGCGGUAAUACGUAGGGAGCGAGCGUUAUCCGGAAUUACUGGGUGUAAAGGGAGUGUAGGCGGGACUGUAAGUCAGAUGUGAAAUAUGCCGGCUCAACUGGCAGACUGCAUUUGACACUGGGGUUCUGGAGUGAAGUAGAGGUAAGCGGAAUUCCUAGUGUAGCGGUGACAUGCGUAGAUAUUAGGAGGAACAUCAGUGGCGAAGGCGGCUGACUGGACAUUAACUGACGCUCAGGCUCGAAAGCGUGGGGAGCAAACAGGAUUAGAUACCCUGGUA